UGUGUGAAAGGGGUAUGAAUGUGUCGAGAUAAGGUGCAGUUAUUUCUCAGAACCAGAUGGUCCAAGAAGGAGGGGGAGCAAGCGUGGGAGAAGACUAGACAACCUGGAGUAAAAAAUGAGUACCCCUACUCACAAGGUGAUUGGAUAUUGGCAGAUUGACGGCUUUAAAGCAAAGCAAGCACCCUGAAAAGACGAUUGAUUACAGGAUGAGCCUUGGAGGAUGUUUUGGGAACACUCACAUCAAAAGAUAAUGCUCCGGUCACAGAAUGACACAGCGGAAUACAUUGAUUUCAACGGAGAAAAGGAUUAUAAAAGCAAGUCUGUAGGAGCCCAGAACAGAGUCGAGUGAUCUCUACCAAUCUACUUCCUGGCCAUCUAACUUGGAAAUAGAUUACAUCUUUUUCCUCAUUUAAAAUCUAAAAGAAAAGCCAAACAAAAUUCAAAGCCCGUCCUGGAAACUUUGAUUUGAAAGGAUCUUUGUACUGUAAGAAAUGACUGAAAGAAAUGGAGAAGACUUCAAUGAAAGGUAUUGCUGUGUACAGAAACAACACUGAAAUCACAAAGACUCAUGUCACAAAGACCACACUGAAGAGCUACUACUGGAAAGUAACUUCGGCUACAUAGACCUGUUAAUCCAGGAAUGAACAGUUGUGUUAUUCCAGAUCUCUUGCUAUUCAAUCUGUGUUAUGAUAUAGUUAGGAGUAUCUCAUAUUUUCAAAUGUAAGCCUUACUUUGAAUGAUUAAACUUUCAAAUUUCUAGAGUUAUGUAUAUUUUUCAAAUCAGGGUGUGGCCAGGUUUUUUCAACCCUGUAGUCACAUCACACUUUUAGCAUGACCCAAGUGAUUUUUAAUACAACUGAGGGACAUCUUACAUGGGUCAACUUAGUGAAACCUUUAAUUAACCACAUCCUGAUUAACUGAAACACUUGGUUAUUCAAAGGUCUAAUAUUUCACCCAAGUUUUGACAUCAGCACAUAACUCUUUAUGCACUGGUCUGGCUUCACUGCCUAAGUGCACACAGAGUUACAAAUGGAGGCCUUUAUGCCUGAUUCAGGACAUUAAAACUUCACUGCACAAAGAUUUAUAUGAUUAAGUCUGGCCAUCACAUAAAGAUGUAUGUACUGAAAUCCUGGAGAGCAGCUGCUACUAUCUCAUAUUGAACCUAGCAUCUGUGAGGAAGCCAGCUAUCCAUCUGAGUGAGAGUGAGGUCCCAUGUGCAGAAUUUAAAGCCAACUGAAUCAGCUCCACCAUUAUCAAAACCCCUAGUUUUCUGGAAGUUUCCAAUGUCACUUGAGAUCUGUUCAACUGUAUCUGGUUUUCUUCCAUUUUGAAACAAUAUGAUCUGACAUUUUUGAAAUGUAUGGAAAUGGAUGUGAAAAUGGGUAGGUUCCUGUUAAUUAAAAACAGUAAAUGCCAUGAAUAUAAAUAUACUUUCCUUUUGCUAGACACUCAAAAAUGGACAACCUUCGUUGCUGCCCUACAUGCCAGUGGGCAUAAUAGGCAUUAACUUAACUUGCUAGACACUCAAUAAUCAAUCCUUUAAACCUUUACAAUUUCUCCUCUCCUCGUGAAAAUAAAGUAGUAAUAAACUGUAAGCAUUCAAAUUCCAAGGAUAGUAGCACUAAAUAAAAACCACCAUAUUCAUUAUCUUCUGAAAAUAUAUACUGAGAUAAAGCUCAGCUUAGCACAAAAAAGGAUAAACAUAGGGCUUGUUUCAGCACCAUUAAAGUAAAUGAGAGUUUUGCCCUUGAGUGCAAUGGAAACAGCAGUGCCUCAUCUUUCUUCUGUAAACACAUAGUUCCACUGACAUCAGAGGGUCAUCACCAAUUAGCACUAGCAUUGCCACUGACCCUUAGUGAAUAGGUAGCAAGAUUUCUAGCAAUGGUAUUAUUUUUCUCAAUGAGCAAGAAUUGGACUUUGAUGUGAAAGCUCUGUAGUCAAAAUGAGCUUCUAUUACCAGCAGAGAAAAAGUUAUACUCUAAGGCUGCAUCUA